AACCUUCAAAGUGACCCCUAAACAACUCCUAAACACUAGGGACACAUGUUGGAAGGUUGGGGUUAGUUGGGGGACUUGUGUGUCAAAAUUUGUUGUGAAACCUUACUAUAAAAGGGCAUGUUUGGUUCAUAACCAACACACAACUCAAAACACACUCCUCUGGUCAUUCUAAAGGCUCUCAAGCAUUUCUCUGUAUACUCUAAGCAAGACCCAACUUCUAUUAGGAACCCAGUAAAAGUACUUGCGACUACUGAUUAGAAUAUACGGCUGAGUUAUUAUUCUUGCUAUUUAAGACAGGAGCUAGCUCAGAUUAAGUGCAGGUGCUAUACGUAAUAGGCUGGCUACUCCAGGCAUCAUU